AUUUACAUUAAAUAUUUCACACUGACUUGGUGACUGAUUAAUCUGAAAUCUAAAACAAAUUGAAAAAUUACAUAUCACUCUCUGUAAAACUAUAUCAAUCAGAGCAUUUAAGGAUACACCAAAGGUUUUUUUUAUGAUUUUCAACAAUUUAGAGAUUUUUUGUGUAGGAAAAAGAGCAAGUCACAGCUUUAUAAUGCAUAUAAAAUUUCUACAAAAUGUGGAAUGGUUUUCUAAUUAUUUAACAUUAUUGAAAUAUAAAUACCAACACGUGUGAAUGUGCCAUUAUUGAAGCUUCUGAUUGGGUCUGUAACUACUAGCUGAUAAAAGGAGCAAUAAAUCACUGUGACCACUUGGGAAAUUGGGGGUCAAUUAAUCUGCCAUUAUACUGCCUGUAUAAAGAUUAGCAUCAGUAGGAAAUUGUUAGCACAUCACAGAAUUUUCUUUAAGAAGAUACGGAUUAUAAUUUUCAAAGAAAUGCUGAACUUGAAAGAAGAAUGAGUUAUAAUGAAUUAUAAUAACUCAUAGAAAUCAAUGUCAAUUAAUUUGCAGUUAAUACUGCCUGUAUAAAGAUUUGAGUCAUUAGGAAAAGGUUAGCACAUCAGAGAAUUUUCUUUAACAAGAUACCGUGUAUAAUUUUCAAAGAAAUGUUGAAAUUGUUACAGGAAUAAUACAUUAUGAAUAAUAGGGACUCAUCCUUAUGAUAUCAUUCUAGUAAAAUAUUUCAUUCUAUCAAUAUCACUUCUGUAUACACAAUGCCGAAAAAUAAAAAGCGCAAGAGGUCCAUGCCUGAUGAUGCUAAACAUCAUUUGAAAGCAUCUAUGAAAGGAUCAUGGUAUAAUCAAGAAGACAAACAGGAUCAGCGAGGUACCAGUGUUUCAUCCAGAAAAAUUCAAACUGAAACUGAAUAGGGUCUGUAAGUCUCGUCAUGUGAUUGCCGAGAUUUAGCGAGAUUAUUAACUUCCGGGUACAUCAACAUCUCAAAUUGCACUGUGUAGAGAGUGGUAUACAUAGAUAUAGCGUUAUCAAUCGAUUAUGUGGAAGUUUAACGAGAUAAACAUGGGAAUUGAAGCAAUAGUGGAGUCGUCGAGGAUUCUUCGCUUCGUGUUUGACGAAUUACGUGUAAUAAAUGCCAGUGUACAAGCAUCGACGAGGGUACGUCUUGCAGAUAAAGAGCAGAUAUGCCUUGAAUCUGAGGAUAAAGGUGUUGUGUAUUGUGCAGUCAUCAUUAAUGUGGAUGUCUGAUGCCAGUAUGCCCAUAAUGGGGCAGUCUAAGUGUCGAUCUUCAUAUGGCAGCAAAUUUUCAAAGGCAGAUAUAAGAAGGCAAAUAAAACUGUUCAAGGUAAAAUACGCCAGUAGUUGGAUAAAACAUCCAAAGUCGGCACAGUCAAAGGUCACAACAACAAUGGAGGAAUUAACUGCAUCCUCAUUCCGAAGGACAGCAGGCCAUUUUCAGCAACCCUGAAAUUCUUAAUUGAGGCUAAGUGCCAAUUUUCAGCUUGAACAAUGACAAUUAAAGAGGCCUGUGCAAAUGUUGGGAUUUCCCUAUUGAAUGUGAUGCAAGGGAUGGUUCGCUGCACCUCAAAACAAAAUUUGAAUAUUGGCAUCAGAUUCAAGGACAACACCACCUGAAAGACACCCAAUGCUGUGAUUUUCUAGUGUGGAUUCCUAGUGACACUCAAAUAAUUCACAUUGACAAAGAUGUAUUAUGGUCAACCUUUUACGCGUGAUAGAGUUUAAUUAUAAUAAUGAAGUAUUUUUGCAGUCUAAAACACACACACAUAACCACAUGUACAUAUACUUUAUUAUGAUAUCAGUGGUGCAUCUAUCAAAGUUAUGU